rnacentral:lncRNA from 1 species
GCAUGCAGAGGCACGGAAGCAUUGCAGUGGCAGAAUGGGUGAGAUUGCGAUUGCGGUGGAGGUGCGAACUAUUCUGUCGGCUGCAAUGGCUGAGGGCGGGACUUCUUCACAGCUUCCAGCAUCACCAGAUUCGGGUUACGGAGCUCAUUCAACGCUGUCGGGGACAUCCACAAUUGCCUAAUCAGGGGGAUGCUUCUUAUUAUUUCCAAAUCUGUUCCUCCUUUGUCCACAACAUUGGAGGCACGAGGAGAGAAUAGCUGUGGCUCAUGCUCCACAUCCCAUUCAGGACUUGCAUUGUAUUCUCUCUUUGCCUGCUUUGGUAAUGCGGUAAUUCUGGCGACGGGGUUGGAGUUGGCCUUGAGCAUGGAGGCUCUUUGCUUGUCUGUUCGGGUGCUGAAACAGGGUUUGGAAGAGAUUGUGUCGGAACGAGCAAUUGAUAUGAGGUGAAGGAAAAAAGAAUAGAAGAAAAAGGUUGUAUUUUUAAUUGUUUUAAUGUAUUAUUUUUAGUUAAAGGUGGUGGAGGGGGGAUCGGACCAACACUUCGGUGCUGGGGAGAUUGGCGGGCUUGAUGACGGAGUUUGAACUCGAUUGAGUUUGUGGUCAAGUGGAUGCUAAAUUUGGGUAGUGAGAACUGUGCAAAUGGGGAGGGAUACUUGUGGGUUGGAUUCUUGACUGACCAUGUCUCGAGGGUGCUUUUUCUCUGAUCGUCGUACUUCUUCUUGUCUACAAUGGCUAUUAACUUUCUUCUCUUGACAGUCAGACUACUCUCUGGUGUGGCCAAGAUCUUUCGAAUGUUGGUAUUGUCUUGUGAUUUUUAGGGUUCAAACUUUGUCUGUGCUCGGUUGCUGUACUUCUUCACACAUGGGGAGAGCUGCACUUCCCAUUGGAGUAGAUAGGUGCCAUGCGAGGAACGCGAGCGCAAUGCAUGGCUGUGUGGCACCGGGCAAGAGACGGGCUAAAGGGGGAGGGAUGGGGCUCAUGAGGAAACGGGAGAGGAGGGAGACAGUUUCGGACAGCUGCAGAGGAGCUGGUGGGAUGGUGAGACGCACUCGGAAGAAAGAGGUGCACAACCGUAGCAAUGGAAUGGGGCAAAGGUCUUGGGGAGUGGAAAGGAUCUUGGCCCAUAGGAUACCUUACUGCUUCAUUUGUUUCUCUUAGUAGACCCUUUUUCUCUCGCUUUUUCUUGCUACUUCUUUCAUGCCAAUGACCAUGUGCGAUAAGCAGUGGUUGACUCGGUUUGAAGUUGAGUUUUGUCCGUUUAGUUAGUCAUUUGCAGAUGUAUAUCCAUGUGUUGAAGUGCAUUUGAAGGUUUUGAGGUUUUGAUCAGAGAUUGGGGUCACUCUGCGGCAGCCAGCUAAAUUUAGAUUUUCCUCAUUGAGAUGACCUCAUCUCUAGAGACGGUAUUGUAGUGGAUGAGUUGAGUCAUUGCCUUCAGGUGCUUUCUAUGCCACGCAAUUUUGAUUAGCAGCUGAUUUAGUUUCCAGGAGUUAGUAAUAUGGAGGGUUUCUUUCAGCACCAAGUGUACAGUUCUGGUGAACUCGGGAAUUCAGAUCAUCAAUUGGUUUAUAUACGAUCCUUUAUUGGUGGAACAUUUUAUCAUUGUCUGUAUGAGAUGGGCAACCUGUGCCAUGGUCGACCUUGCGUUGAGUUAAUGAGUUAGUGUUUGUGAAAAGGGGCUCGUCUUAAACUUUCCUUUCUUGAUAAGUUGUUGCAUUUUGUUUGCUUGAAGGACCAGCUGUGGAUUUGGCGCCAGUUGGUAGUCAUUAUCGCAUUCAUUGACUCUAGAUGCCUUUCACAUAAUCCAAGUCUAAUAAUUGUUGUAGC